GACGUAGGGCGCGAGCGUUGUCCGGAUUUAUUGGGCGUAAAGAGCUCGUAGGCGGCUCGUUGCGUCGGCUGUGAAAACCCGCAGCUCAACUGUGGGCUUGCAGCUGAUACGGGCGGGCUGGGAUUCGGUAGGGGAGACUGGAAUUCCUGGUGUAGCGGUGAAAUGCGCAGAUAUCAGGAGGAACACCGGUGGCGAAGGCGGGUCUCUGGGCAGUUUCUGACACUGAUGCGCGACAGCGUGGGGAGCAAACAGG
rnacentral:rRNA from 1 species